rnacentral:rRNA from 1 species
UGCUAUACAUGCAAGUCGAACGCGUUGGCCCAAUUGAUUGAUGGUGCUUGCACCUGAUUGAUUUUGGUCGCCAACGAGUGGCGGACGGGUGAGUAACACGUAGGUAACCUGCCCAGAAGCGGGGGACAACAUUUGGAAACAGAUGCUAAUACCGCAUAACAACGUUGUUCGCAUGAACAACGCUUAAAAGAUGGCUUCUCGCUAUCACUUCUGGAUGGACCUGCGGUGCAUUAGCUUGUUGGUGGGGUAAUGGCCUACCAAGGCGAUGAUGCAUAGCCGAGUUGAGAGACUGAUCGGCCACAAUGGGACUGAGACACGGCCCAUACUCCUACGGGAGGCAGCAGUAGGGAAUCUUCCACAAUGGGCGCAAGCCUGAUGGAGCAACACCGCGUGAGUGAAGAAGGGUUUCGGCUCGUAAAGCUCUGUUGUUAAAGAAGAACACGUAUGAGAGUAACUGUUCAUACGUUGACGGUAUUUAACCAGAAAGUCACGGCUAACUACGUGCCAGCAGCCGCGGUAAUACGUAGGUGGCAAGCGUUAUCCGGAUUUAUUGGGCGUAAAGAGAGUGCAGGCGGUUUUCUAAGUCUGAUGUGAAAGCCUUCGGCUUAACCGGAGAAGUGCAUCGGAAACUGGAUAACUUGAGUGCAGAAGAGGGUAGUGGAACUCCAUGUGUAGCGGUGGAAUGCGUAGAUAUAUGGAAGAACACCAGUGGCGAAAGCGGCUACCUGGUCUGCAACUGACGCUGAGACUCGAAAGCAUGGGUAGCGAACAGGAUUAGAUACCCUGGUAGUCCAUGCCGUAAACGAUGAGUGCUAGGUGUUGGAGGGUUUCCGCCCUUCAGUGCCGAGCUAACGCAUUAAGCACUCCGCCUGGGAGUACGACCGCAAGUUGAAACUCAAAGGAAUUGACGGGGCCGCACAGCGGUGGAGCAUGU